AUAACUGCUCUUUCUUCUUCAUCUUCUUCAACAUAAAACCCUCAAAAGCUUUCACUUUUUUUUCCACAAAUUCUGUCUGUCUUUUUGUCUUUUCCCUCAUAAACUCAGAUUCCUUCUCUUCUUUCUAAACUCAAAAUUUUCCUCAUUGUUUUUCAAUCUCAACCGGUGGAGAGGAAACGGAGGAGAAUUCUCCAUGUUUUGAUCGAUCAAUGGUCCUUCGUUCACUCUCGGAAAAGAAGAAACAAUUCAAUCAGAAGCUAAAUUCUAACUCACACUGUGCUGAUGGCUUCUUCCUCUGCUAUGAAAUCUCAACCUCUCCAUAACUUUCAAUUAUAUGGCCCCAAAUGGGCCAUGAACCAGACCAGCAAUCAACGCCUCCGGAAACUCACCGAUUCCGCUCAGAGAUCUCCUCAUCGUUGCGAAACCGAUUCCGACUCCGAUAUUAUUCGGAAGAAGAGCACAGUGCGGGAAGCUCCUCCGUGUAACGGAGCUUCUUCCGGCUCCUCUCUUGAUCAUAAGGCUGGAAGAUCGGGGAAGAAAGUCAUCAAGGGGUCUGGUGUUUCGGUUACUUCGGAGAUGAAAGUCAUCGAUGAUUCUGGUGUUUCGGUUACUCCGACGGAGGGUAGAUCGAAGAUAUAUAUACGCCUGCGAACGAAGAGUCGGAAAACUGUUGUUGAGGUUCCGGAAACUGGAAAUCAGAGCCUGAGUGUGGAAGACGUUGAUGAAUUUGUUCCUAAGAUGUGGAAUCUGAGGCCUAGGAAGCCAAUUACUAAGCCGCAGAUUCAAAAUGGAGGUGGACCUAAGAUCGUAGCUUCGGCUAACGAGAACAAAGCUCAGAGGCCGGAGUCGAGCCGGGCUAGGAAUGCAACUGAACCGAAAGCGGCUGAGAAGAAGGCGAAGAAACAGAAGUUCUCGAUUUCGCUUACUAGAGAAGAGAUUGAUGACGAUAUCUUUGCUAUGACCGGCUCGAAGGCCUCUAGAAAGCCGAAAAAGCGACCCAAGAAUGUUCAGAAACAACUCGAUUGCUUGUUUCCUGGUAUGUGGUUAGAUAUGGUAAGACCUGAUUGCUACAAAGUCCCUGAUCCUCCUUUAAAGGGUUAGAUGGGAGUGCUGCUAAAACUUUGAUUUUGGAGGGUGGGAAUAAGGAUGACUGCUAAACAUCUUUUUUGCAGUUGUACAAUGAGCUUGUAGAGAUGAAAGGGUAACAAAUGUGUCUUGUUCUUGUUGCCUUUUUGUCUAAUCUGUAACGAGUUUCCUGCAGAUUAUAAUGUACCAUCAGACCAACAGAGAUUCUGAAAUGGAUAAUGAUUUGCACCGGGAUGUGAUCCAAACUCGAAACUGCUCAAUGCUGUUCGGUAGCUUCCUUGUUGGUCCUAGCUGGAUUAUGGUAACAGUGAUACUAAUACCGUCCAUUACAGAAAAGGCUGAAACUAAGAAUCAGAUGAAAAUGACACCCAGCAGCCUACUCGAUGUUGUUUGCUACCAACAUGUAUGUAUGUUAUAGGGGAGCUUUGAAACUAGGAGUACUUAGAUGAUGAUGGGAUUUCUUUUUGAUAAAUAAUGGGGAGAAGAGUGGCUAGAAAUGUAUGAAACUUCGGUCAUGUAGUUCCCACUUUAAAAGUGGUCCAGCUUUCAACUUUUUACUGUUGUGUUUUUUCUUUGUAGAUCAAAUGAUUUUGUGGUGGGAAAC